rnacentral:lncRNA from 1 species
UUUUAAUUAAAUUAUUUAAUUAACAGACAUUUGUUAGCGUAUCAGAUUAAUCGAAACUAACUGAUGUAUAAUAUUUAUGUUUGAUCAUGUUGAACUAAAAGUUGUUGUUAAUACUUGUUUAACGUUAACGCGCUAACUUCUCAACCGUAACUUCGAGUUCGACGUUUCUUUCCCUCUCGUGACCAUAGAAUCGAGCUCUAUUUUAUGCUGCAUGUUUUUAUAACAAUUUAUCAUGUAUGGUGUAAUGUUCUUAUGCAUAUAUAUAUGUUUGUUUGUUUGUGCCUGUUGGUAUUCGUUGUGCGUCGCAAAUAGUUUGUGAUCCGUUUCCGAGCUUCGAGAGAUCGAAGGUCAAGCUUUGGUGACCAAGUGAUCAAGCUCCUCGAGCUCUACGAGAUUGAAGAUUCUGAGCAUCUGUUUGGUGAAGGCAAGUGUCCUCUGACCCAUUAUGUCCUAUUCACUUAUAAUUCACUUUCCCGCA